AUGCUUAGCCUCGUCCACCCCAGCUGUAAAACUCAGAAACCAGUCUUACUUGUUAUCAUCUAUCGUCCACCUGGGCCUUACACAGAGUUUCUCUCUGAUUUCUCAGACUUUUUAUCUGAUUUAGUGCUCAGCUCAGAUAAAAUAAUUAUUGUGGGUGAUUUUAACAUCCAUGUAGAUGCUAAAAAUGACAGCCUCAACAUGGCAUUUAAUCUGUUAUUAGACUCAAUUGGCUUCUCUCAAAAUGUAAAAGAACCCACCCACCACUUUAAUCACACUCUAGAUCUUGUUUUAACAUAUGGCAUAGAAACUGAACAUUUAACAGUGUUUCCUGAAAACCCUCUGCUGUCUGAUCAUUUCCUGAUAACAUUUACAUUUACAAUAAUUGAUUACACAGCAGUGGAGAGUAGACUUUAUCACAGUAGAUGUCUUUCUGAAAGUGCUGUAACUAAGUUUAAGAAUAUAAUCCACCCACUGUUAUCAUCUUCAAUGCCCUGUACCAACAUAGAGCAGAGCAGCUAUCUGAACGCUACUCCAACAGAGGUCGAUUAUCUUGUUAAUAAUUUUACCUCCUCACUACGUACGACUCUGGAUACUGUAGCUCCUGUGAAAACUAAGGUCUCAAAUCAGAAGUACCUGACUCCGUGGUAUAAUUCUCAAACACGUAGCCUAAAGCAGAUAACUCGUAAGCUGGAGAGGAAAUGGCGUGUCACAAAUUUAGAGGAUCAUCAUUUAGCCUGGAGAAAUAGUUUGCUGCUUUAUAAGAAAGCCCUCCGCAAAGCCAGAACAUCUUACUAUUCGUCACUGAUUGAAGAAAAUAAGAACAACCCCAGGUUUCUCUUCAGCACUGUAGCCAGGCUGACAAACAGUCAGAGCUCUACUGAGCCAACCAUCCCUUUAACGUUAACUAGUAAUGACUUCAUGAACUUCUUCACAAAUAAAAUUCUUAUCAUUAGAGAAAAAAUUACCAAUAAUCAUCCCACAGAUGUAAUAUUAUCUACAGCUACUUUUAGUACCAUCGAUGUUAAGUUAGACUCUUUUUCUCCAAUUGAUCUUUCUGAGUUAACUUCAAUAAUUACUUCCUCCAAACCAUCAACGUGUCUUUUAGACCCCAUUCCUACAAAACUGCUCAAAGAAGUCCUGCCAUUAAUUAAUGCUUCAAUCUUAAAUAUGAUCAACCUAUCUCUAAUAAUCGGCUAUGUACCACAGGCCUUCAAGCUGGCUGUAGUUAAACCUUUACUUAAAAAGCAUCUCUAG
rnacentral:lncRNA from 1 species